CCUACGGGAGGCAGCAGUGAGGAAUAUUGGACAAUGGGCGCAAGCCUGAUCCAGCCAUGCCGCGUGCAGGAAGAAGCAUCUAUGGUGUGUAAACUGCUUUUGUACGGGAAGAAACACUGCUACGUGUAGCAGCUUGACGGUACCGUAAGAAUAAGGAUCGGCUAACUCCGUGCCAGCAGCCGCGGUAAUACGGAGGAUCCAAGCGUUAUCCGGAAUCAUUGGGUUUAAAGGGUCCGUAGGCGGUUUGGUAAGUCAGUGGUGAAAGCCCAUCGCUUAACGAUGGAACGGCCAUUGAUACUGCCAGACUUGAAUUACUAGGAAGUAACUAGAAUAUGUAGUGUAGCGGUGAAAUGCUUAGAUAUUACAUGGAAUACCAAUUGCGAAGGCAGGUUACUACUAGUUUAUUGACGCUGAUGGACGAAAGCGUGGGGAGCGAACAGGAUUAGAUACCCUGGUAGUCCACGCCGUAAACGAUAGGAUACUAGCUGUUCGGGGUAACCUGAGUGGCUAAGCGAAAGUGAUAAGUAUCCCACCUGGGGAGUACGUUCGCAAGAAUUGAAACUUAAAGGAAAUUGACGG
rnacentral:rRNA from 1 species